GCAAGUCGAACGAGAAAGGGAUUGCUUGCAAUCCCGAGUAGAGUGGCGUACGGGUGAGUAACACGUGGAUAAUCUACCUUUGAAUCCGGAAUAACUAUUCAAAAGGGUAGCUAAUACCGAAUGAAGUCAAAUUUCCCUCGGGUUUUUUGAUGAAAGACAGCCUCUGCUUGCAAGCUGUUGUUUGAAGAUGAGUCCGCGCACCAUUAGUUUGUUGGUGGGGUAACGGCCUACCAAGACUAUGAUGGUUAGCUGGUCUGAGAGGAUGAUC
rnacentral:rRNA from 1 species